rnacentral:rRNA from 1 species
GACGAACGCUGGCGGCGUGCCUAAUACAUGCAAGUAGAACGCUGAAGAGAGGAGCUUGCUCUUCUUGGAAGAGUUGCGAACGGGUGAGUAACGCGUAGGUAACCUGCCUUGUAGCGGGGGAUAACUAUUGGAAACGAUAGCUAAUACCGCAUAACAAUGGGUGACCCAUGUCAUUCAUUUGAAAGGGGCAACUGCUCCACUACAAGAUGGACCUGCGUUGUAUUAGCUAGUAGGUGGGGUAACGGCUCACCUAGGCGACGAUACAUAGCCGACCUGAGAGGGUGAUCGGCCACACUGGGACUGAGACACGGCCCAGACUCCUACGGGAGGCAGCAGUAGGGAAUCUUCGGCAAUGGGGGCAACCCUGACCGAGCAACGCCGCGUGAGUGAAGAAGGUUUUCGGAUCGUAAAGCUCUGUUGUAAGUCAAGAACGAGUGUGAGAGUGGAAAGUUCACACUGUGACGGUAGCUUACCAGAAAGGGACGGCUAACUACGUGCCAGCAGCCGCGGUAAUACGUAGGUCCCGAGCGUUGUCCGGAUUUAUUGGGCGUAAAGCGAGCGCAGGCGGUUUGAUAAGUCUGAAGUUAAAGGCUGUGGCUCAACCAUAGUUCGCUUUGGAAACUGUCAAACUUGAGUGCAGAAGGGGAGAGUGGAAUUCCAUGUGUAGCGGUGAAAUGCGUAGAUAUAUGGAGGAACACCGGUGGCGAAAGCGGCUCUCUGGUCUGUAACUGACGCUGAGGCUCGAAAGCGUGGGGAGCGAACAGG